GAUGAACGCUGGCGGCGUGCCUAACACAUGCAAGUCGAACGAAGCACCUUACCUGAUUCUUCGGAUGAAAGUUUGGUGACUGAGUGGCGGACGGGUGAGUAACGCGUGGGUAACCUGCCUUGUACAGGGGGAUAACAGCUGGAAACGGCUGCUAAUACCGCAUAAGCGCACGAGGAGACAUCUCCUUGUGUGAAAAACUCCGGUGGUACAGGAUGGGCCCGCGUCUGAUUAGCUGGUUGGCAGGGUAACGGCCUACCAAGGCAACGAUCAGUAGCCGGUCUGAGAGGAUGAACGGCCACAUUGGAACUGAGACACGGUCCAAACUCCUACGGGAGGCAGCAGUGGGGAAUAUUGCACAAUGGGGGAAACCCUGAUGCAGCAACGCCGCGUGAGUGAAGAAGUAUUUCGGUAUGUAAAGCUCUAUCAGCAGGGAAGAUAAUGACGGUACCUGACUAAGAAGCUCCGGCUAAAUACGUG
rnacentral:rRNA from 1 species